GACGAACGCUGGCGGCGUGCUUAACACAUGCAAGUCGAACGGAAAGGCCCUGCUUUUGUGGGGUGCUCGAGUGGCGAACGGGUGAGUAACACGUGAGUAACCUGCCCUUGACUUUGGGAUAACUUCAUGAAACUGGGGCUAAUACCGGAUAGGAGCUCCUGCUGCAUGGUGGGGGUUGGAAAGUUUCGGCGGUUGGGGAUGGACUCGCGGCUUGUCAGCUUGUUGGUGGGGUAGUGGCUUACCAAGGCUUCGACAGGUAGACGGGCUGGGAUGGUGGCCGGACACAUUGGGACUGAGCUAAGGCACAGCCUCAUCCGGGACGCAGCAGUGGAGAGUAUUGCACAGUGGGCUGAGGCCUGAUCCAGCAAAGCCGCGCGGGGGGUGAGGGCAUUCGGGUUGUAAACCGCUUUCGCCUGUCACGAAGCGUGAGUGACGGUAAUGGGUAAAGAAGCACCGGCUAACUACGUG
rnacentral:rRNA from 1 species